rnacentral:rRNA from 1 species
CGAGGGGUAGGGUAGCAAUACCUGAGACCGGCGCACGGGUGCGUAACACGUAUGCAAUCUACCUUUAAUUGGAGGAUAGCCUCAAGAAAUCGGGAUUAAUACUCCAUAACAUUAUGAAAUGGCAUCAUUUUAUACUUAAACCUCCGGGGAUUAAAGAUGAGCAUGCGCAACAUUAGCUAGUUGGUAAGGUAAUGGCUUACCAAGGCUACGAUGUUUAGGGGGGUCUGAGAGGAUGAUCCCCCACACUGGUACUGAGACACGGACCAGACUCCUACGGGAGGCAGCAGUAGGGAAUAUUGGGCAAUGGAGGAAACUCUGACCCAGCCAUGCCGCGUGCAGGAUGACGGCCCUCUGGGUUGUAAACUGCUUUUAUACGGGAAGAAAAAAUGCUACGUGUAGCACAUUGACGGUACCGUAAGAAUAAGGAUCGGCUAACUCCGUGCCAGCAGCCGCGGUAAUACGGAGGAUCCAAGCGUUGUCCGGAUUUAUUGGGUUUAAAGGGUGCGUAGGCGGAUCUUUAAGUCAGUGGUGAAAGCCUGCAGCUCAACUGUAGAACAGCCAUUGAAACUGAAGAUCUUGAAUAUGGUUAAAGUAGGCGGAAUGUAUCAUGUAGCGGUGAAAUGCUUAGAUAUGAUACAGAACACCGAUAGCGAAGGCAGCUUGCUGGACCAUUAUUGACGCUGAGGCACGAAAGCGUGGGGAGCAAACAGGAUUAGAUACCCUGGUAGUCCACGCCCUAAACGUUGAUUACUCGUUGUUGGCGAUAUACUGUCAGCGACUAAGCUAAAGCGUUAAGUAAUCCACCUGGGAAGUACGACCGCAAGGUUGAAACUCAAAGGAAUUGACGGGGGCCCGCACAAGCGGAGGAGCAUGUGGUUUAAUUCGAUGAUACGCGAGGAACCUUACCUGGGCUUGAAAGUUAGUGACCGCCUCUGAAAGGAGGCUUCUCUUCGGAGCACAAAACUAGGUGCUGCAUGGCUGUCGUCAGCUCGUGCCGUGAGGUGUUGGGUUAAGUCCCGCAACGAGCGCAACCCCUUUCUUUAGUUGCCAUCAGGUUAUGCUGGGGACUCUAAAGAUACUGCCUAUGUAAAUAGUGAGGAAGGUGGGGACGACGUCAAGUCAUCAUGGCCCUUACGUCCAGGGCUACACACGUGCUACAAUGGCAGUCACAAAUGGAUGCUACUUAGUAAUAAGAUGCUAAUCC